CCACUGUACACCCACUACAUCUCAAUCACAUACACACUUUAUUCACACACUUUUCCCUUGUAGACACACACUGCAUCCGCUAAUCAUACUGGAUUCCCUAUAAGCACACACACACAUUACAUUCCCUAUAUACACUGCAUGCCCUACACAAAGCAAUCCUUACACACACCACUGUAUUCACUAUACCCACGCUCACUACACAC